rnacentral:lncRNA from 1 species
AUAUUAACUGAACAAUGAAAAGAAGUUUAUGCAACAAACAGCAAUUAGAAAGUAAAUAAGUUGAGUCUGUAGGUAAAAUGUAAAGAAGUUUACAGCACUUACCGAAGGAGGAAGGAAGGAGGAAGAAAGACUUGGUAGUGGGGGGGCUGGCGGAGAAGGGGUUCUUUGGAAGGCAUGGCCUUCUUUCCGCACCGUUCAACCAUUUCUCAACAUUUAGGGGGUUCACGGUGAUCUUGCAUCCAAACUUCACUACAAAUAAAGUUAUAUCACAGAAAAUACGUUGAGGGCACAAUAAAAGUAAAUACGUGAGUAGUUCAAAAGGUGUAAAACCAGUGCGUGCGCACAGCCCACUGACGAGUCACGGGACAUGCUUCCUCCUCCUUCCUCCUCCUUCCUCCACUGCGCAGUGUGCUUCGGGUUCAUCCCCACGCGGCAGCCACUCCUCUUCCUUCCAUGUGAUGUUCUCCGACUAGAAACUGCUGUGCCGAGUAAUAAGCUGGUGACUGUGUCUUUGCCUGAAACCAUAAAGUCAAAAUAUUACUUCUUGCAGCAUAUGGCAUUGGGUGAAAACAUGGUCAUACUGAAAAAAAAAGAAGCCACUGUCUGAAAAGCGUGGAACCGUUCAAAGCCGUAACGGCAGUAGGUCAUUACCGAACGUCUGUGUGCGGGCUGCGGGUGUAGCUGAGGGGCCGGGGCAGGAAGAGGCAGCACCCAGGCCUCCUUACAGGGUCUCACUGGGUAACAGUGAGCGGAGUCCUUCCGGCCGCGGGGGAGCCCGGACUGCAGACAAGCCUCCGCACACCCCGCCUCCCGGGCAGGGCCCAGGGCCCAAACUCCCUCCUGUGUUCUCCUUCAGCCGGAUUUGAGGGACUCGGGUGUGUCUGGGCUGAAAGUGUUAGAGCUUCCACCAAGCUGCUGCGGAUGUCCCCAGUGGGCGUUCGCUUGUGACUCUUAAAGAAACAGGCCUGAGGCCCGCUCUGACGGCCAGAGUCAGCUUAAGGGCUUGUUUCGUUCCGGGAGGAAUCGAGUCGCGUUGGGCAGUGAACACCCCCUGGGAGAAAGAACAGGACGCUUCACCUGUGCCCGCUGCUGUGUCCCCGGUUCUUCUGAAAUCUCCCGCACGCCGCGUCUGUUCUUAUUCCCCUGGGCCCGCUGGAAGCCCAGCUAGGGGCAGCCAGGGCCAAAGGGCACGGGCUUCGGGGCUGGCCAGAAGGGCACUCGGCUCCCCCACUUCCUCCCCUGACCACAUUCAAGUCGUCCCUCCCCUCCCGCCACCUCCCGCAACCUUCCUCCGCCCUCGCGUCCUCCUCGGAUGGCAUCACGCACGUUCUCUCUUAGCUGACGUCACCAGGCGCGAGCGUUCAUCCGCAUCUCAUCGGGAAGACUUUCCAGGGCUGGACUUGAACCCUGGAGCGCUCCCGGCACGUGUCUGUCCCUCCAGCGGUUCGGGGACUCUAGGAGACUCUUUCUCUGGCUCUCGCGCUGGCUCCCUGCCGCUGGCGCUCUCCCGGCCGUCGUCACCGUCCCGUCGUCACCGUCCCGGGAGGAGGGCCGGCCCGCAGUCGGCCUGUGGACUGCGGCGUGAGCGCCCGCGAGCUACGAGUCCUCCAACGGGCCCCGUGCUGCCAAGGCUAGUGAAGCCUGAGCGUCCGCUGCUCAGGGACAGAGAGGAGUCAGCUCGACCCGGAGGCCAGAGAGACCCCGGCUCCUCCGGGCCGUGACCUGGGGCCCCCGCCCUGCCCUGCGGCCCGCGGACUGCCCAACCUGACCAAUUUCUCUCGGUGUUUGGCGAGGGCCUUAGGGAGCCCAGACCCAGAACGCGAGCCUGGUUGAGAACGUGGAGAGACGCAGGUCGCUGGAACUCGCUGUCGUGGGAAACAGCGGCCACUCGCCGCCGAGGCAGAGGGCUCGCGGGCAGCAGCGGCGGCCGCAGGAGGCAGCCCGGAGGAGCCGGCGCCCGUUCUCCUCCCGCUCGGCUCUCCCCCAGCGCCCCCGCGGGCACCACCGGCGGGCAGCCGGCCGGCCGAGAGAGACGCGCUCGGCGUCCCAGCCCAGCGUCGCCGAGCGAGCGCAGGACGGCUCCGAAGCUGAGACAGUAGCCUAGGGAUCCGCACGUGGACCCUCACAUAUUAAAUGACGAAGAUUAGCCCUGAGCUAACUCUGCCAAUCCUCCUCUUUUUGCUGAGGAAGACUGGCCCUGAGCUAACAUCCAUGCCCAUCUUCCUCUACUUUAUAUGUGGGACGCCUACCACAGCACGGCUUUUGCCAAGCGGUGCCAUGUCCACACCCGAGAUCCAAACCGCGAACUCUGGGCCUCCGAGAAGUGGAAACUGCGCACUUAACCGCUGCACCACCGGGCCGGCCCCCAAGUUCUAUUUUUUCUUUAAUUGCUUUUCAAUUGAUUUUCCUGUUUUGUCCAGGUAUAAAAUUAACGGUAUAUGUUAUCAGUAAUAAUAAAUUAUUCCCUCCUGUCUUCUAUUUUCACUAUUUUCUUUCUGUUCUCUGAUUCAAUGGCUGCUAUUGUAAUGGGUUGAUCUCACUCUUCAUUCGCCCGGUGCAGACGUUUUUGUUAGAGACAUAGAUUUAAUUUUCUUAAAGAAUAACACACGCUUUCCUAUUGUAUUAGAAGUUUUGUAAAGUCCAUAAAUUGAUUUUUAACUUUUCAAAUAACUUUGAGGAAUCUAUUGAAAUGAUCACGUUUUUCCUCCCUUGACCUAUGAAUGUGGUGAAUUAUUCCAGUAAAUAUUCUUAAAUUGUU